rnacentral:rRNA from 1 species
GUCUGUGGCCAUACCACCCUGAAUGUGUCUGGUUUCAGAAGCUAAGCAGCAUUGGGCAUGGUGAAUACUUGGAUGGGAGAUCACCUGGCAAUACUGGGCUUUGCAAACU